AGAAAUAAUAUUUUUAAUGAUCUUUGGCAUGUAAUAACAGUCUUUCAAUUCUAAAAUUUUGCUCGAUGGCAAAUCAAGCAUACAGAUUUCCACAGCCUCUGUGCUAAUGGGCUCUCCACUUGUACCAUAAAGCUCAAGGUUACCUCUUUUCAAAUCUUUGAUAUUCUGUAGUUGUUGUAAUGAAUUACAAAUAUACGAUCCACAGGCAGUAUCUAAUACCCAAGUAUC
rnacentral:lncRNA from 1 species